CCUACGGGGGGUUGCAGUGAGGAAUAUUGGUCAAUGGCCGAGAGGCUGAACCAGCCAAGUCGCGUGAGGGAAGACGGCCCUACGGGUUGUAAACCUCUUUUGUCGGGGAGCAAAGCGAGUCACGUGUGACUCAUUGAGAGUACCCGAAGAAAAAGCAUCGGCUAACUCCGGGCCAGCAGCCGCGGUAAUACGGGGGAUGCGAGCGUUAUCCGGAUUUAUUGGGUUUAAAGGGUGCGCAGGCGGAGGUGCAAGUCAGCGGUAAAAUUGCGGGGCUCAACCCCGUACUGCCGUUGAAACUGCAUCCCUUGAGUGCGCGAGAAGUAUGCGGAAUGCGUGGUGUAGCGGUGAAAUGCAUAGAUAUCACGCAGAACUCCGAUUGCGAAGGCAGCAUACCGGCGCGCAACUGACGCUCAUGCACGAAAGCGUGGGUAUCGAACAGGAUUAGAUAUCCUAGUAGUC
rnacentral:rRNA from 1 species